CAUAAUGUGUGCCCCCCCCCCCGGAUCUAGGAGUACAUGCCUAUAGGGAUCAAUCUACCUGGCAAAAAGUGUUGAGUUGGACUUCAUUAUUAUUACCGAGAGGGCAACACAAUGGAAGGCUGUGUACCACCCAAUCGAGUAUACAAGUUCAGAGAACAACUAAAGGAAGGUUCUAUCUACAGGUUUGAUUCUUUAAUUGUUGCUGCAGCAUGGAACAAAUACAAGACAGCCAAUCAUCCGUACAGGAUCAAGAUUACUCAACGCACAAAAGUCAUCGAAGCAAUUCCGGAUUCUGAAAUGUUUCGUUUGUUCCUGUAUAAUGCGAAUCAUUUGCUGUUCUGUAGUCACCCUAAUCGUUUGCUAUUCUGUAGUCACGUGCAGGGGACAACACCUUUCUAUCAGGUUUCCACUGGAUGCAGCCUGUACAUUUCAUAUUAAAUUACCUGCUUUUUAUGUGCACUUGAUUCUCUUUUUUCGUACCAAUUUCAGAUGUUGUUGUACUGGUGACCAUGGACUAUUCUUAAUGAAUAUCACUCGGUCGAAUAUGAAUGAAGAGCCAAGGAGGCAUAUCGUCUUAAAAGAUGCUAGGUAUGGCUUUUGGUAUAGGUAGCAGCGAAGAAAUUCCGGAUUCUGAAAUUUUUCCUUUGUUCCCGUAUAAUGCGAAUCAUUUGCUGUUCUGUAGUCAGGCGAAUCGUUUGCUAUUCUGUAGUCAUGCGCAGGGGACAACACCUUUCUAUCAGAUGUUGCUGUACUGGUGACCAUGGACCAUUGUUAAUGAAUAUCACUCGGCCGAAUACGAAUCAAGAGCCAAUGAGGCAUAUUCUCUUAAAAUAUGCUAGGUGGUGGAAAUGUGUUGUUGGUGUUCUAAGUCCAUUGUUGCCCAGUGCACAGCAUGCCUCCAGGGAUCUUGCAUCGUAAUAAUUUAUAGAACAAGGUGUCACAAAGGUAUUGGUGAUGUUCUACGUCCAUUGCUGCACAGCCGCAGAGCAUGUCUUCACUGAUUUUUCAUGAUAACUUAAAGCGGAAAUAAAGGAUAAAUGUUUUGUUGCAUGAUGCUUUAUAUAUAUAGUUCUAAUGACACCUGUUUAUUGUACAUACUGCACCGCUGUUCUUUUUAAGUUAAAUUGUGGCAGGACCAUAUUCGCUGAAAGAACUAUAUUUUCCAUUUA